rnacentral:lncRNA from 1 species
GUACUUUUCUCACUGACCAAUCUCACUUGACUUGCCCACUUACCAACCCCAACAUCAGUGGCCACUUGGGUCUUUCCCCAUUCCAACUUCGAUCUCUCCCUUGAAAAUCCAGACGGCUGCUCCAACGAGUUUCCUUAAAAUAAUCAAACACACACCCACUGCCACGUGGAAUUUCUCACACACACUCGCACGAGAACUCGUGAGAACCACGUGUUCACGAGAAGAGGAACCCAAUAUCUCGUCAGGUACAUCACUGUUUCGACAAGCAAGAACACCCUGUGUUAAAAAGACAGAAGUCAAUGUGAGAACAAAACCCAGAGAUCUCUCGGCUCAGAGCGUGCCAUCUGCCACUUCGAAACGACAGCACAAUCACUCGGGAGAUCGAGUGAUCAGACGAGAUAAUCUCCGGAUCUUCUCAUGGAAGCUGCUGUUUUUUUUUUUC